UACGAAGGGGGCUAGCGUUGUUCGGAAUCACUGGGCGUAAAGCGCACGUAGGCGGACCUUUAAGUCAGGGGUGAAAUCCCGAGGCUCAACCUCGGAACUGCCUUUGAUACUGGGGAUCUCGAGUCCGGGAGAGGUGAGUGGAACUGCGAGUGUAGAGGUGAAAUUCGUAGAUAUUCGCAAGAACACCAGUGGCGAAGGCGGCUCACUGGCCCGGAACUGACGCUGAUGCGCGAAAGCGUGGGGAGCAAACGGG
rnacentral:rRNA from 1 species